rnacentral:lncRNA from 1 species
GCAUGAAGUUAGUCAGCAUUAUUUAUUGAGUUUCCACAGUACGUGCAGACACUUGAAGUGACGUAUGAGGAUUAAUCACAGCAGGCUUCUUUGAAGGAGAUACUGAAUAAAUUAUUAUUUAAUUAAAGCUCAAAUCAAGGCUGAUAAUAAAACAAAUGUCCGAGCAGUGGGACACUCCCUCCCUGAACCAACUGGAAUAUAAUUACACUCGACCAUGGACAAAUCACUUUAUUGGAAGUCAGUUCCUGUAGAAGUGACUAGCCCCAACUAAUGGCUAUUGUAAAUCAAGGGAUGGUGAUUGCUAAUCAGAUGAGGCCUCCCCAUGGUAGGAAGUUAAAGUGGUAUGAAAACAAUUUCCAACACUGGCCCAAGUAAAAACAGAUUGCCUUCUUUGUGAAAAGCCUCAUGAAUAAAGCCUUGGGUAAUGCCACUUAGAGUUUCUUCAACAUGAAGACAUUGACUUUUGCAUGAAUAGGUGAAAACUGCAGCAAUGAUUUCAGAGGGAUAGGGGAUUGAACUUGACAUCACACAAAUAUAGACUAGAAUCCAGGCUUUACUAUUUAUUUGCAGUGUGAUCUUGAGUGAUUACUUAAGUUUUCCAACUCUUAGUUUCCACAAUUGUAAAGGAAAUAUAAUAAUGUAUAUCAACAUGACUUCAUGAGAUUGGAAAUGGAAUAUAUAUAACACUUAUGAUAUGUUAGGCUCUGAAUACAUGAUGGUCUUGCUUACUCUCACUACUAUAAAUGACAGUAUUUACUGCUGAAAGUAGUCUUAAUAGUCUAAAAUUGCAACAAAUUCCUAUCAUAUUAAAACUCUGAGAUUUGGAAGGCUAUUUGGACCAACUCCUAGAGUUAGUUUAACUAGGAUACUUUAAUGAAACCCGUAUUACUUUUGUUAUGUUGUUCCAUUACUAUUAUGUAUUAAGUAAAUUUGUUAGAAUAAUUGGAUACAUACCCUCAAACAAAAAAAAAUACUGAUUUGAUGUCUAAACACAACCACUUCAAUAUUGUGACUUUCUAAAUUAUAUGCCAUAAUUAUGUUCAUUAUCAUAUGUAAACAUCACUUGUGUUACUAGCCUAAUAGUUUACUGAUUGCAUAUGCUGUAAUAUAUUUUUAUUCCUAGACACUUAGUUUAUUCAUAUUUUUGUACUAUUGCUAAUAAUAUCACAAAUGGUCAUGAGGUUAAAUAUUUACUUGUUGAGUAUAUAGUCUAUAUUUAAAAAUAUUUUAAAUAUAAGUAUAUUUUAUAUAUAAAAUAUAUUCGUUGAAUUCAUAUAUAUUUAUAUAAAUAAACAUAUGUUUUUAUAUAUGGAAAAGUACCAUAUUAGUAAACUACCCUUUUCUGGGGAUGUGUUAGCUGCAAACACUUAACUGUUGGUACAAGUGAAAAUACUGAGGAUGGGAUCUCUUCUCUCCUUCGGAAUGAUUUCCUUGCUACUUAUGUCUUUCUGCACACCUUCUCCAUCUCCAUAUUAGAAGUUUACUCCCAUACUUCCUGAUUUUCUACCCCUUCACAUCUUUUCACAUAGUUUUACCUCCAAUACUAUGUCCAAUUUAAUCACUAUGGUUGACCCCAAAGAAAUUUUUCACCUUGAUUUGUCAAUCAUCAAUGUUUCAGCAAUGUUCUUGUUAAUUUUUCUAUAUUUAAUAACUGUGUCCAACAUUUUGUAUUUUAAAUGUUCUAUCUAGAUCCUUAAGUUCUUAUGUGUACCCUAAAUCUCUUUAGAUUUAAGGAGACAAAUAUUUGUUCUUACCUAUCCUGUCUCUGAAAGGACUUGGUAAUGUAGGAGAGCACAUAUAGUUCCCCAAAUAUGUUACAAUUUUUAAUUUUACAUCAGAAGGUGGGAUAGGCUUCACCCCUUUGUAUACUUUAGGACACUCUAAUCUUAGUUUGGGCACAAUGCACAAAGCAGUACAAGCACAAGCCACCUUUAAACUGAACCAAAGUUGUCUAGUGUUGGGUAGCCUGCUUGCCGGCUGCUCGUGGCUCUGCCUCUUUCCUAUGGUGCUCCAGCCUCUCCUGUACUGAAAUACAAUGAAAAAUAAUUUGCCAAACAGCACACUCAACAGAGUCUAGGAAAACUUCUUUGAGGUUUAUAAUAAUCUCUCAUUAACUAACCUGGCCAACUUAAGAUCAAUAAUAAUAAUCAGUCACAUGAGUAAAGAAUAAACAUGUUUUUCUUUAAAGUUCUAAAAAUAAAAUUAUUCUUAAACUGCUUUCCUCAGCCAUUACAUUUCUUUACCUUCUUCCCAAUAUGACCUAAAAUUAAAAGUCUAUUUUAAAGAGAGUUCUUCCGGAUACCUCUAUUCUUGGAAGAAGCUUUCUGCCACAGUAGAAACAAUAAUGUUGAUUCUUGGGCACAAGAGCGUUAUUAGACUAAGAACAUCUGCUGCAUUUUGUAAAAUGUCAGAAGAUUCUGAACUGAUCUUUUAUUGUACAGUUAUAUUAAGAAUGAUUAGGCCAACUUAUUGAAUCAUUAAAAUUUAGUCCAUUUUUCAACAAAAACAAAUAACUAAAUUUGCUUUUCUACUAUCAUUAUUAUACUCUAUUAGGGAAAAUAAAUGUGUUUAUUUAAAGGUAAAAUAAUUUUUGCUCAGGGAAGAUUUUCUGCAAUCAGAAAGUAACCAACCUUUAGCACUUAUAUAAUUUAGACACAUUAUCACAACAGUUUUAAUAUAAGAAAAAGGUUAUUUUGUAAGAAGUUACUUUAAAUAAGUUUAUACCACAAGGCAAUGAAUACAUUAUUGGCAUGAUCUUUUAAGAAAGCAGGGUAAAAGUGAGAUGUAUAGCAGCACAUGGAGAAAACAUAAUUUAGAAACAAUAGAUUCUAGAACAACGUAUUGAUCCUAGAUUUAGUUCACACUGUUAAGAGAAAGUUACACUCACUAAGGAAAGUCAUACAAUUUUCCUUUAUGAUUAUAUAAUUUAAUUUACACUGUGGAGAUUUUUAGAUAACUUUGUUUUACUCUAACCGAAGCUGUUGAGAACCAAAACUUAUCACUUCACAAAUUGCUCAAUAAAUAAAAUGAAAAAAAGGUGAUGAUAUUGAUAUAUAGAAAUAUAAUGUAAGGCAGAAAGGCUCUUUGUGACAUGGUCUGACUUUGUCUUUCUCACUCAAAUACUUAUUCCUUCCAUGGAUAUGAAGGGAUAUAGACUGUAUUUCUCUGUUCUCUCACUGCUGUAAAGAAAUAUAUGAGAUUUAUGAAGAAAGGCUAUUUAUAAAGAAAGGUAAUUCAUAAAGAAAGGAUAUUUAAUUGGCUCAAGAUUCUGCAGACUGUACAGAAGGCAUAGCAGCAUCUGCUUCUGAGGAGGCGUCAGGGAGCUUUUACGCAUGGUGGAAGGCAAAGAGGGAGCAGGCGUCUCACAUGGCAGGAAUACAAACAGAGAAUGGGGGAGGUGCCACACACUUUUAAGCAACCAGAUCUCAUGAGACCUCACUCACUAUAGAGUACCAAAAGGGGAUGGCACUAAACUAUUCAUGAAAACUCUGUCCCCAUGAUCCAAUCACCUUCUACCAGGCCCCACCUCCAAUACUGGGGAUUAGAAUUUGACAUGAGAUUUGGUGGGGGCACAGCUCAAACCAUAUGACAGAUUGUUUAAAAAGUUACCAGAAUAAUAAAAAUAGAGUAGACUAACAUCACAAUGAGCUGUAGGAGUGGAUAUAAACCAACCCAUUGAAUUACACUGAAGCACAUUAGUAGGAAAGUAAUUUUCUGCCUUGGUAUAAAAAAAAAAGACUAAAUACAAACAAAUAAAAAAUUUAUAUAUUGUAUAUACAUCUACUAUGUAAAUACAUGUUAUAUAUUUAUAAGCUUAAGUAGGGAAAUAGUAUGAAAUCCAAUAGAAUGCUGAAAAGCGGUUACAGAUUCAGACUUGAGGAAAGCUUGGAUAGAAGUAUAUGAUGCCCCUUCUUUCCACCUCUGCAGCAACAACAAACACAAUGUGAACAUAAAAAUUCUUGCUCACUAUUGGAAAGGAGGGAAAAGUGAUAUUGAGAUGUUCCUACCUUUGAGGAAAGACAGGACUGAUACUUUACUUCUGAAAAGACAGCUUGGUCUUUCAGGAAGUAACAAAAUCUUGAAUUCCAUGAGUCCUCUAAAGUUUGAAAUGGAGAGAGGAGGCUGAGUUAUCUGGAGAAAGUGUCACUUGGAUCCAGUGGACAGAGGGCUAUGAGUGGUGAGUAUGGAACUGAGAGAAUGUUCCCACAGUGGAAAUGUGCUGUCCCACAAAAUCAGUGCUCAGAGCGACGUUGAUAGCAAUGUAUACCAACAUUAAAAAAGAAAGAUUUCAAAUAAACAAUGCAAUCAUACACUUCAGGGAACUAGAAAAUCAAAAACAAACCAAAUCCAAAAUUAGCAGAAGAAAAAAUAAUACAGAUAAGAGCAGAACUAAACAAAAUAGAGACUAAAAAAUGAGAAUAAACAAAAUGAAGUUUGUUCUUUGAAAAGAUAAAAAAUUUGAUAAAUCAUUAACUAGACUAAUCAAGAAAAGAUGAGAAGAUCUAAAUAAAAGAGAAAUAAAAAAGAGUUUUUAAAUAAUACCACAGAAAUAGAAAAGAUCAUCAGAGACCAUUAUGAACAACUAUACACUAACAAACUGGAAUACCUAGAGGAAAUGGGUAAGUUCCUGGAAAUAUACAACCUAUCAAGAAGAUUGAAUCAAGAAGAAUUAGAAAACCUGAACAGACUAAUAAUGAGUAGUGAUAUUUAAUCAGUAAUUAAAAAAAAAACCUCACGACAAAGAAAAACCCAGGACUGAAUGGAUUCGCUACUGAAUUUUACCAAGUGUAUAAAGAAAUACUAAUCCUCCUCAAACCAUAUUUAAAAAAUUGAAGUGGAGAAACUUCUUCAAACUCAUUCUACAAGGUUAGCAUUACCUUGAUACCACAACCAGACAAGGACACGACAACAAAAGAAAACUACAGGCCAGUAUCCCUAAAGAAUAUAGAUGCAAAAGCCUUCAACAAAAUAUUAGCAAACAAAAUCCAACAUCACAUCAAAAAGAUAAUACACCCUAAUUAAGUGAGAUUUAUCUCAAGGAUGCAAGGACGCAAGGACAGUUUAAUGCACAUAAAUUCAUAAAUGCUAGGAAUCAUAACAAUAGAAUAAAGGGCAAAAAACAUAUUAUCAUUUCAAUAGAUUCAGAAAAAGCAUUUGACAAAAUUCGACAUCCCUGCAUAAUAAAAACUCUCAACAAACUAGGUGUAGAAGGACCAUACCUUGAAAUAACAAAGACUAUAAACAACAAACCCCACAGCUAAUGUCAUACUUAAUGAGAAAAUAUUGAAAGUCUUUCCUGUAAAAACUAGAGCAAGGCAAGGAUGCCCACUUUUACUCCUAUUCAACACCGUACCGGAAGUCCUAGCCAUAGCAAUCAGGCAAGAAAAUAAAUAAAAGGCAUAUAAAUUGUAAAAGAGAAAGUCAAAUUGUCCCUUUUUGCAGACAAUAUGAUUUAUAUCUAGCAAAACAAAAAGACUCCACCAGAAAACUCUUAGAACUGAUAAAUUAAGUAAAGUUUUAGGAUACAAAAUUAUCUUACAAAAAUCUGUAGCAUUUCUAUAUACCAAUGACAAACUAGCCAAAAAAAGAAAGAAAGAGGGCAAUCUCAUUUACAAUAACUACAAAAGAAAACCCUAAGAAUAAUUUUAACCAAGGAGAUGAAAGAUCUCUACAAGGAAAAUUACAAAACACUGUUGAAAGAAAUUGAAGAAGACACAAACCAAUAGAAAGACAUCCUGUGAUCACGGAUUAGAGGAAUUAAUGUUGUUGAAAUAACCAUACUGCCCAAGCAAUCUGCCGAUUCAUUGCAAUUCCUUUCAAACUACAAACAUCAUUCUUCAUAGAAGUAGAAAAAACAAUUCUAAAAUUCAUAAAACAAACAAAGAGCCCAAAUAGGCCAAAGUGAUACUAAGCAAAAGAACAAAGCUAGAGGCAUCGCAUUACCUGAGUUCAAAAUAGAUUACAAGCCAAUAGUAGCCAAAAUAGCAAGACACUGGUAGAAAAAUAGAUACACAGACCAAUGAAACAGAAUAAAGAACCCAGAAGUAAUGCCACAUACCUACAACCAACUGAUGUUUGACAAAGUCAGCAAAAAUAUACACUGGGAAAAGAACACCCUAUUGAAUAAAUGAUGCUGGGAUAAUUGGAGAGCCAUAUGCAAAAGAAUGCAAAUGGAGCCAUAUGUCUCACCAUAUAUAAAAAUUAAGGUAAAUUAAAGACUUAAAUGCAAGACCUGAAAGGUCUUCUAUAGGUCUACAAAAAUCCUAGAGGAAAUCCUAGGAAAAUUCUUCUGGACAUUGUUCUAGGCAAAUAAUUUAUAACUAAGUCCACAAAAAGAAACGCAAAAAAAAAAAAAAAAAAAAAAAAAAAAAAAAAAAAAACCCAGAAAGAGGCAAAUGGGACUUAGGUAAACUAAUAGAUGCCUGAACUGCAAAGGGAAUAAUGAACAGAGUAAACAGACAACCAACAGAAUGAAAGAAAAUUUUUGAAAACAAUUCAUCUGAAAAAGUUAUGAUUCAAAAUCUAAAGGAACUUAAACAACUCAACAGAAGAAAAGCAAAUAACUCUAUUGAAAAGUGAGCAAAGAAUAUAAAGAAACAUUUUUCAAAAGAAGACAUACAAGAAGACAGCAAAGAUAUGAAAAAAUGCUAAACAUCACCAAUCAUCACAGAAAUGCAAAUUAAAACUAUAAUGAGAUACCAUCUUAUAUAGAUUAGAAUGGCUAUCAUUAAAAAGUCAAAAACCAUCAGAUGUUGGUGAGGAUGUGGAAAAAGGAAAUGCUUAUUCACUGAUGGGAAUGUAUAUUAGUGCAAAUUCUACGGAAAACAGUAUGGAAAUGUCUCAAAAAACUAAAAAUAAAACUACCUUUUGAUCCAGCAAUUCCAUUACUGGGUAUCUACUCAAAAGAAAAUAAAUAAAUAUCAAAAAAUGUCACCUGUACUCAUGUUUAUUGCAGCAGUAUUCAGAGUAACAAAAAUCAUGAAAUCAACCUCUGUGUAUCAAUGGAUGAUUGAUUUAAACUGUGGUGUGCGUGUGUGUAUAUAUAUGUAUAUAUAUGUAUGUGUAUAUAUAUGUAUAUAUAUGUAUGUGUAUAUAUAUGUAUAUAUAUGUAUGUGUAUAUAUAUGUAUAUAUAUGUAUGUGUAUAUAUACACCAUAGAUUACUACUCAGCCAUAAAAAUGAAUGGAAUAAUGUUUUUGCAGCAAUAUUUGUGGAACUGAAGUCCAUUAUCUUCAGUAAAAUGACUCCGAAACAGAAAAUCAAAAACCACAUGUUCUCACUUAAAAGUGGGAGGUAAACAAUGGUACACAUGGACAUACAGAGUGGAAUAGACAUUGCAGACUCCAAAUGGGGGGAGGGUAGACAUUGCAGACUCCAAAUGGUGUGAGGGAUUAUAUACCAACUAUUAGGAAUGAUGUACAUUAUUUGAAUGAUGGGUACACUAAAAGCUCAGAUUUUACCACUGCACAAUAUAUACAUGAAACACAGCUACACUUGUACCUCUAAAUCCAUAAAAAUGAAAAAUUUAAUUUAAAAAAGUGAAUGUCAUUCCCUGACCCUGAAGGUGAAAAUAGCAAGAAAGCAGGUAAGCCUCAUGAGAUUUGGUGCCUAGCAGAGGUAAUGUAAUUUCCCCUUGUGAAUUCCCCAUGUCCCUGGCCCACUGUAUAUGUCUAGAGUGAAUCAACCGUCCAGCCAAUAUUCAACAGAAAAAUCUAAACAUAAAUGUGAAAAGUCAAGGACAAUUAUUUUUACUUUGUUUUAGAAUAAAUGCUAAAUCUUACAGCUGCCUCCUUUUAAAUAGAUAAGGACAGGAAGGAAAAAGAGUAAUACUAUUCCAAAGGAAAGCUUCUAUUAUGUUAUAGAAACAAAACAUAAUAAAGGCAGAAGUACAUAUUUUUUAACAGAUUCACUGUAGGGAAGAGAAGUAAACUUUAAACAGCAUCUGCUAUUAUCUCAGUCAAAUUUAUGGAGCAUAGAUUCUAUAAAAUGAAAUAAGAUAGGAUAACAGUGUGAGGUAAAAAGUUAAUUGAGAGGUAAGUGGAAAUUUACAACAAAGAAGCUAGAUAAUAUAAAGAAAGAAUGCUUUAAAACCAAAAUGCAUCCAC